rnacentral:rRNA from 1 species
CACGUAGGGCGCAAGCGUUGUCCGGAAUUAUUGGGCGUAAAGAGCUCGUAGGCGGUCUGUUGCGUCCGCUGUGAAAACUCGGGGCUUAACCCCGAGCCUGCAGUGGAUACGGGCAGACUAGAGGUAGGUAGGGGAGAAUGGAAUUCCCGGUGUAGCGGUGAAAUGCGCAGAUAUCGGGAGGAACACCAGUGGCGAAGGCGGCUCACUGGCCCGGUUCUGACGCUGAGGUGCGAAAGCGUGGGGAGCAAACAGG